CCUAGGAAAACAAAAUACCAAAUAUGGAUGAAGUCAUUAAACAAGAUGAGCAGAAGCUACUUUUCUUCAUUGGAACAACAAACUCUGCUGAAGAGCUUACUUGCUGGAAGUUCUCUGACACAGCGACUUCCCUUUGUUCCUCUGCAUGCACUGUGCGUGCCUUCAUCUCCUCUUGCUCAGCUGUAAUCUGAUCCAUCCUCUGCCGUCUCCUGGCAAACAUGAGGGCCCCUUUACCUGUCGUCUCUGGAAGCGUCUGCAUCUCGUCUCCACUUUUUGUCUUCUUUUCAACCUCAAGUAGACCACUGUCCCAAUCAAAUGUCACAAUCUUCUUGUCGUUGUCAAGGUCAGAGAAGAAAUCUUCAUCUAUUUCUGACUCACUUGUUGCAAGCAAACUCACUUCAAAAGUAUUUUCUUUGUCCCCCUCUUCAACUUCACCUUCUUCACCCUCGUCUUCGUCACGUUCGAGCUCCCCCGUCCCGUAGCUGACUAAAGUAUAUUUCCUCGCCCUUUGACGACGCUUCUUGAACAUCAACACCCCCUUGGAAUUGGGGUUGGGAGCUGCCGUCAGCAGCAAUGCAAUACUUUUACAUUUAGAUUUGGCUUCUUUCACCUGCUUCUCUGACAGGCUCUCACUUCGCCGGAGUCCUGUGGAAAGAAUCAACAUGCACAUUUAAUUGCACGCAGCCCACAAAAAUACAUAGAGCUUAUUAGCAAGUAGUUAUGCAUUUGUCUAUAGGGAAGUUUACAUACUGCCCCUCUCCCUGAUAUUAAAACAUUUCUUUUCUUGUGCAUGGAGGGGUGGCUAUGCAUAUGCUUUGCCCACAAUAACAACUGUGGUAUAAAUUCCAUACCCAGCAUUCCUUCCUUAGAGCCACACCCAGACAGGCUUAAAGGCUACAUCACUUUCUUUAAUUCAAGAGUGUGUCUUUUUUUCAAGGUGUGUUGAAAACUGUGCAUUGUGUCUGACAGCGGUAGCAGUUUCUACCAUUUAAGACAUUAUUGCACUAUAAAACCUUUGUAGUUGAUAAAAAUAGGUAUAUAUAUAGAUCUAUAUAUGUAUGUAUUAGCUAUUUAAAAGCAAGUAUAUAUCCCUGGAAAUAUACAAAGAAAUUAUUAAUUUUCAGCUCCCUCGAAGACAGUGGGAGUGCAAACAUAAUCCAAAAUUGUACAGGAUAUAACAUCUCCAGGAUAUUUAUUUUUAAAAUGUGGCAAGAAUGAAUACACAUUUAAGAACCUAAUGGAGGAGGCUCCUACCAAAAUAAUAUAUAUUUCUUAAAGCAUAAAGUAUUGGUUUUCAUCAAAUCAUGGGGGGAACAGGAAUAUCUGCAGCUAUGAAGGUGAUAGAUGCACUGUACAUCAGCAUGACCACCUCACUAGCUUCUCUCUUUUAAAAAGCUUGAUUUUAAAAUAAAAAGCUAAUUCUGCCUGGGUCAAUGGCUGCAUUCCAGUUAUUUUCAAAAGGAAAAGGUGUGCCUCUGAUUUGUGAAAAUAAACCAGUUAAGCAUUAUCUUCUGCUAGCACAAAUAAAGCAAACUUGUUAAAGAAA